GACGAACGCUGGCGGCGUGCCUAAUACAUGCAAGUAGAACGCUGAAGAAAGGAGCUUGCUUCUUUUGGAUGAGUUGCGAACGGGUGAGUAACGCGUAGGUAACCUGCCUUGUAGCGGGGGAUAACUAUUGGAAACGAUAGCUAAUACCGCAUAACAGCUUUUGACACAUGUUAGAAGCUUGAAAGAUGCAAUUGCAUCACUACGAGAUGGACCUGCGUUGUAUUAGCUAGUAGGUAGGGUAACGGCCUACCUAGGCGACGAUACAUAGCCGACCUGAGAGGGUGAUCGGCCACACUGGGACUGAGACACGGCCCAGACUCCUACGGGAGGCAGCAGUAGGGAAUCUUCGGCAAUGGGGGCAACCCUGACCGAGCAACGCCGCGUGAGUGAAGAAGGUUUUCGGAUCGUAAAGCUCUGUUGUAAGAGAAGAANGUGUGUGAGAGUGGAAAGUUCACACAGUGACGGUAACUUACCAGAAAGGGACGGCUAACUACGUGCCAGCAGCCGCGGUAAUACGUAGGUCCCGAGCGUUGUCCGGAUUUAUUGGGCGUAAAGCGAGCGCAGGCGGUUUAAUAAGUCUGAAGUUAAAGGCAGUGGCUUAACCAUUGUUCGCUUUGGAAACUGUUAAACUUGAGUGCAGAAGGGGAGAGUGGAAUUCCAUGUGUAGCGGUGAAAUGCGUAAAUAUAUGGAGGAACACCGGUGGCGAAAGCGGCUCUCUGGUCUGUAACUGACGCUGA
rnacentral:rRNA from 1 species